GUCUACGGCCAUACCACCCUGAACGCGCCCGAUCUCGUCUGAUCUCGUCUGAUCUCGGAAGCUAAGCAGGGUCGGGCCUGGUUAGUACUUGGAUGGGAGACAAAUGGCUUACUCUGUCUUAAGGCA
ensembl:rRNA 5S_rRNA 5S ribosomal RNA